rnacentral:rRNA from 1 species
AUAAAAAACCAACGCCCUUCGGGGCUCCUUGGUGAAUCAUAAUAACUUAACGAAUCGCAUGGCCUUGCGCCGGCGAUGGUUCAUUCAAAUUUCUGCCCUAUCAACUUUCGAUGGUAGGAUAGUGGCCUACCAUGGUGGCAACGGGUAACGGGGAAUUAGGGUUCGAUUCCGGAGAGGGAGCCUGAGAAACGGCUACCACAUCCAAGGAAGGCAGCAGGCGCGCAAAUUACCCAAUCCCGAUACGGGGAGGUAGUGACAAUAAAUACUGAUACGGGGCUCUUUUGGGUCUCGUAAUUGGAAUGGGAACAAUUUAAAUCCCUUAACGAGGAACAAUUGGAGGGCAAGUCUGGUGCCAGCAGCCGCGGUAAUUCCAGCUCCAAUAGCGUAUAUUAAAGUUGUUGCAGUUAAAAAGCUCGUAGUUGAACCUUGGGUCUGGCUGGCCGGUCCGCCUCAUCGCGAGUACUGGUCCGGCUGGACCUUUCCUUCUGGGGAACCCCAUGGCCUUCACUGGCUGUGG